GGCCCGCUUGCCGAACUGGCGCUUGAGGCGUUCGUUUCCCGACACGUCGGGAAUAGGCGGCGGGCAUCAC
rnacentral:ncRNA from 12 species